CGGAUGCGGAUCUCGAAAGCCUGUCCCAGUUCGGACUGGAGUCUGCAACCCGACUCCACGAAGUUGGAUUCGCUAGUAAUCGCGCAUCAGCCAUGGCGCGGUGAAUACGUUCCCGGGCCUUGUACACACCGCCCGUCAAGCCAUGGGAGCCGGGGGCGCCUGAAGUCCGGGACCGCGAGGACCGGCCUAGGGCGAAACUGGUAACUGGGGCUAAGUCGUAACAAGGUACC
rnacentral:rRNA from 1 species